rnacentral:rRNA from 1 species
GCUAGCUACAGGCUUAACACAUGCAAGUCGAGGGGUAGCAGGGUAGCAAUACCGCUGACGACCGGCGCACGGGUGAGUAACACGUAUCCAACCUUCCCAUAACUCAGGGAUAGCCUUUCGAAAGAAAGAUUAAUACCCGAUAGUACUUUAUUAAGGCAUCUUAAGAAAGUUAAAGAUUUAUUGGUUAUGGAUGGGGAUGCGUUCCAUUAGAUAGUUGGUGAGGUAACGGCUCACCAAGUCUUCGAUGGAUAGGGGUUCUGAGAGGAAGGUCCCCCACAUUGGUACUGAGACACGGACCAAACUCCUACGGGAGGCAGCAGUGAGGAAUAUUGGUCAAUGGGCGAGAGCCUGAACCAGCCAAGUAGCGUGAAGGAUGACGG